UUCCCGGGGCCGGUCUAAGGACCCAUUCAUUGACGAAGUCUCAAUUUCAAUACUUUCUCGAACCGCUUUCGGUCGGACCGGUAAAUUAGCUAUAAAAAGCACGACGUCUCUUGCUCAGACUCGACACUACCAUUUACUACCAAAUCGGAGAAAGAAAAUGUUGAUGAAAGCCAUGGGCGUCACUGCGAAGUGCGAAGUUGCCGCCGAUUAUGGCUCAUGGCCGCUCAUCACCAUUCGAGCACCGUGACCCUCAGCCGUCAAUGCGUUGCUCCUCGGCUCCCUCAAAGCACACUAUCUCGAGAUAUAUCUAAAAUGUCGUUGUCUCCGGUGCACUAGAUGGUAGUGGGCCGGUGCUUACUAGGAACUACGGUGAAGAAGCAGUUAAGGUUUAGGAAAUGCCAUUUGCCAUUGUUAUUCUGGGAGGUGGAGGAGACGAUGAAAUUAGUUGGUAAUGUACAUUUUCUUUGUGUGUUAUAUCCCGAUGCAUUACGUAUCCAUUCCGUUUCCAUGAGAAUCUAAGUCGAACCCUAGGGGUUUCACGUUGUUCUGCUCGGAUUUAAUGGUUUCGUGUUCAACUUAAACUGAACAAGAAAAACCCAACCCAUUUGGUAAUGUACUUUUCUGAGUUGUUGGUUUGGUUGGCAGAGAUUUAGUUGAGAAAAUGCGAGACAUUUAAAAGAGUCUCUCUUUCCAUUCUUCAAGCACGCCAUGAUGUGAAAGAAGACCAAAAUUUUAUUUGGUCGUUCACUGUUCAGACCAGUUGAAUCAUUUAUCAAGGAGCACAAGAACACUCCACAUAAUCGUCCUAAUCAGUUAGGUGUAGCAGGUAAAGAAAACAAGUGGAAAUAAGGGAUGAAAACAGGUGCAUAUUUCUUAAAUAAGCUUAUGGAGGCCGUUCCAGAGCCAUGUUCAACUGGGUUCACACGAAGUUCCACUACAACCCUCUUAAAGAUGGAAAUACGUCAAGAAAGAAGGGCGAAUCUAUCACGAAGGAGGCAAAAACACAAGGAUUAUUAGCAGAACAAGUCGAUGAAUUUGUUGAUGAUUGGAGGAUCAACAAUGGCCGCCGUCUUACCAUUUUCUUUAUGGGAUUUGAGAAGUCAUCAAAAACCAAAACUUAUUUCAAUUUGAGGAAGGAGGGAAAGAGAGAUAAUGGAGAUAUUAUUAUUGUUGAUAAUGCUGAGGACGAGGAUGAUGAUGAGUUGAUCCCAUUAAUGUCGACCACAUUUCAGAACAACUUUGACGAUAGUAAUGGUGAAUUUUGUACGGAAUUCGAGAAGUCUCAAGUAGUCUUGGCUAUUCAACGACAUGUCGCUCAAAGAAUCCGCCAGAGAGUCACGCUGGCGGACCUGCUUUGUUGGUUUUAAAACAAAUGAUCCGUAAAAUCUCACGCACUCUUCUUGAAGAAAACAAAGAUAAAUACUUUGUAAGAUAUAUUGCCAAGAGGGAGAGAAUGUAACAACAAGUGAAAACUACAUAAGUUGCAGAAGAAAAAAUAAGUUGAGGUAUACAAGAGAUUGCAUCUAAGAUCCAAUGAAAAAAAACAACUAAACUAACAGCGCUUUUUAAACUUUUCAGCUAAUAGGGAAGAUGAUGAAGAGAAAGAUUCAUGCAAAGGUGCACAACGAGCAGCUGCUUGAUCCAACCUUUCUUAGUAUUCUUCCAGCUGCUUGUGCUUGAGAUUCAUCAUUUGGCAGCAAUGGAAUUUGCUAAAACUGUGGUUGAAUUUUAUAUUCUAAUUUUCAAGAAUGUAGAUGUGAUAUAUGUGAAAGCCAUGUCUUCUCUUUUCUUAAGCUUUGAUGUAACAUUAUGGGUUUUCUUUUUCUUGAUUUGAUGAAAGUUUGGUGGUACCCAAAUUGAAUGGAUUACCUUAUUCAAAUUGGACUUCAAAUACGUAA